rnacentral:rRNA from 1 species
UCAGGAUGAACGCUGGCGGCGUGCCUAAUACAUGCAAGUCGAACGCACAGCGAAAGGUGCUUGCACCUUUCAAGUGAGUGGCGAACGGGUGAGUAACACGUGGACAACCUGCCUCAAGGCUGGGGAUAACAUUUGGAAACAGAUGCUAAUACCGAAUAAAACUUAGUGUCGCAUGACACAAAGUUAAAAGGCGCUUCGGCGUCACCUAGAGAUGGAUCCGCGGUGCAUUAGUUAGUUGGUGGGGUAAAGGCCUACCAAGACAAUGAUGCAUAGCCGAGUUGAGAGACUGAUCGGCCACAUUGGGACUGAGACACGGCCCAAACUCCUACGGGAGGCUGCAGUAGGGAAUCUUCCACAAUGGGCGAAAGCCUGAUGGAGCAACGCCGCGUGUGUGAUGAAGGCUUUCGGGUCGUAAAGCACUGUUGUAUGGGAAGAACAGCUAGAAUAGGAAAUGAUUUUAGUUUGACGGUACCAUACCAGAAAGGGACGGCUAAAUACGUGCCAGCAGCCGCGGUAAUACGUAUGUCCCGAGCGUUAUCCGGAUUUAUUGGGCGUAAAGCGAGCGCAGACGGUUUAUUAAGUCUGAUGUGAAAGCCCGGAGCUCAACUCCGGAAUGGCAUUGGAAACUGGUUAACUUGAGUGCAGUAGAGGUAAGUGGAACUCCAUGUGUAGCGGUGGAAUGCGUAGAUAUAUGGAAGAACACCAGUGGCGAAGGCGGCUUACUGGACUGCAACUGACGUUGAGGCUCGAAAGUGUGGGUAGCAAACAGGAUUAGAUACCCUGGUAGUCCACACCGUAAACGAUGAACACUAGGUGUUAGGAGGUUUCCGCCUCUUAGUGCCGAAGCUAACGCAUUAAGUGUCCGCAUGGGG